UGCUGCUCAGCGACUUCACCCACAGCAACCAUGAGUUUGAUCAGCAUCUUCAUCUGCACACUGGCCCUCUGCGCUCGAGGAUCCAGAGGUCAGGUGACUGUGACUCAGAGUCCUGCAGUGAAAUCUGUUUCUCCAGGAGACACACUCACCAUCAGCUGUAAAACCAGUCCUGCUGUUUACUAUAGUGGUGGUUAUUAUUUGUCCUGGUAUCAGCAGAAAGCUGGAGAAGCUCCGAAACUCCUGAUCUAUGCUGCUAAUGAAAUAGAAUCAGGUAUUCCAGCUCGUUUCAGUGGCAGUGGAUCUGGAUCUGAUUUCACUCUGACCAUCAGUGGAGUCCAGACUGAAGAUGCUGGAGAUUAUUACUGUCAGAGUUACCAUUGGAUCAGUAGUAGCGACGUGUUCACACAGUGUUAGAGCGUCGUACAAAAACCUGGGUGUGUGUGAGUGCUGCAGCUGGGACCUACUGCAGGUGCUGAGGGGGACGAUGUGAUCCAGCACACACACACACACACACACACACACACAGUGUAGCAGUGGAAGCUAACAGCAUGUUCAUGAAUCAUUUUCCCCAGAGGUCGCAUGUACAGGGAAGAAAGCAGUGUGUGUAGAACAGAGCUGUCUCAGUCCUGUGAUGAGGCCGAAAUACUGACUGAGACAUUUCAUGGAUGUGAUUCCGAGUUUAUCUGCUGAACUACAAAGAGUUUAGUUGUAAAUGGAGCUCCAUGAUCGAGCACGGAGUGGAACGUUAACUCCAAACAUUCAGUCACUUUAUGGAGUUCUGUGAGAUCAGAGGGUGAAUCAAUCUCAUUGUAAAUAAAAUGAGGUGGUGAUUAUCAAGCGUUUCACAUGAAUAUGAGCAAAACUCUAUCAGCUCCAAAUCUCACUGAUCUUCAUGUU